UACGGAGGGUGCAAGCGUUCUCCGGAUUCACUGGGUUUAAAGGGUGCGUAGGCGGGCAGGUAAGUCAGUGGUGAAAUCUCCGAGCUUAACUCGGAAACUGCCAUUGAUACUAUUUGUCUUGAAUAUUGUGGAGGUAAGCGGAAUAUGUCAUGUAGCGGUGAAAUGCUUAGAUAUGACAUAGAACACCAAUUGCGAAGGCAGCUUACUACACAAUGAUUGACGCUGAGGCACGAAAGCGUGGGGAUCAAACAGG
rnacentral:rRNA from 1 species